CGAUACAAACGAUACAAACAAUGCAUGCUUCGCGAUAUUGGCUGAAACAUCGAAAUAUCGUAAUAAAAUAUCGAAAUCAUCUUAAAUAUAUAUCAAACAAUUAUACAAAUACGUUUUAUUAUAUAUCAAUGGUCGAUCAUAGUUAAAAUAAGUUAAUUCUUUCAUCGAUCCACAAGUACGAACAUACACACGCACACACACGCACACACGUACACCAAACCUCUUGGAAUCUUUCCUCGAGCUUCUCCGCACGUCCGUUUCUUUUCCAUAUUAGAUUCAUAAAGAUUCGAACUACGAAUUCCAUAAGAAAAGUUUCGCGCAAAACUUCUUCGAAAUUUUAUCCAUCGAGUAACAUGGAAGCACUUCGCGAUUCGCUUUAAAAUUCAGCCGAAACGAUCGAGCGCGAAAACAAAGGGAUAUGUAAGGAACUUUU